rnacentral:rRNA from 1 species
GACGAACGCUGGCGGCGUGCCUAAUACAUGCAAGUUGAGCGCUGAAGGUUGGUACUUGUACCAACUGGAUGAGCAGCGAACGGGUGAGUAACGCGUGGGGAAUCUGCCUUUGAGCGGGGGACAACAUUUGGAAACGAAUGCUAAUACCGCAUAAAAACUUUAAACACAAGUUUUAAGUUUGAAAGAUGCAAUUGCAUCACUCAAAGAUGAUCCCGCGUUGUAUUAGCUAGUUGGUGAGGUAAAGGCUCACCAAGGCGAUGAUACAUAGCCGACCUGAGAGGGUGAGCGGCCACAUUGGGACUGAGACACGGCCCAAACUCCUACGGGAGGCAGCAGUAGGGGAUCUUCGGCAAUGGACGAAAGUCUGACCGGGCAACGCCGCGUGAGUGAAGAAGGUUUUCGGAUCGUAAAACUCUGUUGGUAGAGAAGAACGUUGGUGAGAGUGGAAAGCUCAUCAAGUGACGGUAACUACCCAGAAAGGGACGGCUAACUACGUG